rnacentral:rRNA from 1 species
ACGGGACCCGCACAAGCGGUGGAUGAUGUGGUUUAAUUCGAUGCAACGCGAAAAACCUUACCCACCUUUGACAUGUACGGAAUCCUUUAGAGAUAGAGGGGUGCUCGAAAGAGAGCCGUAACACAGGUGCUGCAUGGCUGUCGUCAGCUCGUGUCGUGAGAUGUUGGGCUAAGUCCCGCAACGAGCGCAACCCUUGCCAUUAGUUGCUACGAAAGGGCACUCUAAUGGGACUGCCGGUGACAAACCGGAGGAAGGUGGGGAUGACGUCAAGUCCUCAUGGCCCUUAUAGGUAGGGCUUCACACGUCAUACAAUGGUCGGUACAGAGGGUUGCCAAGCCGCGAGGCGGAGCCAAUCCCACAAAGCCGAUCGUAGUCCGGAUUGUUCUCUGCAACUCGAGAGCAUGAAGUCGGAAUCGCUAGUAAUCGCAGGUCAGCAUACUGCGGUGAAUACGUUCCCGGGUCUU